UGAAUGGCAUUGAAGGAUCGAAGUAGUAUAGCAAAUCCCUAUUUAAGAGAACUAGUGGUUGGUGGAAACUAGUAUAUAUUUGCAUACGAAUUACAGUCUGGAGCUAUUUCUUUUUGGAAGUUAUCUUUUUCAAAAAGAAACGGUGGCGACAUCGUUAACAAUACCAGAGUGGCAAAGGUUUUAUUUUGCAACAAGGGUGGUACCGCGUGUUAAACUCGUCCCUUUU
rnacentral:ncRNA from 1 species